CCCUGUCGUGCUUCAUAUACCUCUUCUGCUGUAUAAAGUCUUUGAACGUUUUUAUCAUCGUCGAGUCGCGACUUCCAGGAGACGCGAUUCUUCGAGACAAAAGUUAUUACAACUUUCAGCAUAUGGAUCUCUUGGCUCUCGCAUCGAUGAAGAACUGCAGCGAAUCGCGAUAUGUAAUGUGAAUUGCAGAUCUACAGUGAAUCAUCGAAUCUUUGAACGCACCUUGCGCUCCUCGGUGUUCCGAGGAGCAUGCCUGUUCGAGCGUCAGUAAUAUUCUCAACCCCUCUCGAUUAGCUUCGAGCCGGGGCUUGGAUCCUGGGGGCUGCCGGAGACCUGUUUUUCAGGACUCGGGCUCCUCUGAAAUGCAUCGGCUUGCGGUCGACUUUUCGACUUUGCGCGACAAGGCUUUCGGCGUGAUAAUGAUCGCCGUUCGCCGAAGCGCAUGAAUGAAACCCGUCCCGCGCCUCUAUCCGUCGACGACCUUUCGGGUCGUCUUCCUUAUAGACGUUUGACCUCGAAUCAGGUAGGACUAC
rnacentral:rRNA from 1 species